AACGAACGCUGGCGGCAGGCCUAACACAUGCAAGUCGAACGAGAAGCCACCUUCGGGUGGUGGAAAGUGGCAGACGGGGUGAGUAACGCGUGGGAACGUGCCUUUCGGUUCGGAAUAACCCCAGGGAAACUUGGGCUAAUACCGGAUACGCCCUUCGGGGGAAAGAUUUAUCGCCGAAAGAUUGGCCCGCGUCGGAUUAGCUUGUUGGUGGGGUAAAAGCCUACCAAGGCGACGAUCCGUAGCUGGUCUGAGAGGAUGAUCAGCCACACUGGGGCUGAGACACGGCCCAGACUCCUACGGGAGGCAGCAGUGGGGAAUAUUGGACAAUGGGCGAAAGCCUGAUCCAGCCAUGCCGCGUGGGUGAAGAAGGCCCUAGGGUUGUAAACCCCUUUCAGCGGGGAAGAUAAUGACGGUACCCGCAGAAGAAGCCCCGGCUAACUCCGUG
rnacentral:rRNA from 1 species